UGUUCAUCUAGAACACACGCACAAGUGUGUGAGAGAGAAUCAUUUUUGAAGAUCUUCAUCGUGUUCAUCGGACAGGUCUAGAUACGUUUGUUGGAUAAUAAUUUAUGGGACUAGGACUGGGAAGAAACCUAACAAAACAUUACGUGUGAAUUGAUGCAGAUAAAAACUCAAAAUUUAGGGAGUCUUCAAGUUCAGGGCAUAAUUGGGUAGAAGUUGCAACCAAACGAGAAGGGAUCUUGGCAGGAAAAAAAAGAACUACAAUAUCGGAUACGACAAAAGGUGGCCAUAAAGCGAAAGAAGGUAGAUGGAGAAACCAAUGAAGAAUGGGAACAAGAAGUCGAUGAAGGGCAGGUGGUGGGUACCUUUGACGUUGCACAGAAGUUACCCUCUAGUGUAACACAUGUUA
rnacentral:lncRNA from 1 species